rnacentral:rRNA from 1 species
AACUUCUGAAUGUGACCUCGGAUCAGGUAGGAAUACCCGCGAAUUUU